GCAUUAAUGGGGUAGUGGUAACCUGGGUCGUUGCCAUUUUGGCUAGCCUUGCGUGUCGACCCGCCGGGGGUUCGAUUCCCCCUUAAUGCA